rnacentral:rRNA from 1 species
UACGGGGGGGACAAGCGUUGUUCGGAAUUACUGGGCGUAAAGGGUUCGUAGGUGGCUUGCUAAGUCAGACGUGAAAUCCCUCAGCUUAACUGGGGAACUGCGUCUGAUACUGGCGAGCUUGAGUGCAGGAGAGGAACGCAGAAUUCCAGGUGUAGCGGUGAAAUGCGUAGAUAUCUGGAGGAAUACCGGUGGCGAAGGCGGCGUUCUGGACUGCAACUGACACUGAUGAACGAAAGCCAGGGGAGCAAACGGG